rnacentral:rRNA from 1 species
CACGUAGGGUGCGAGCGUUGUCCGGAAUUAUUGGGCGUAAAGAGCUCGUAGGCGGUGUGUCGCGUCGGCCGUGAAAACCUGCAGCUUAACUGUGGGCGUGCGGUCGAUACGGGCAUCACUGGAGUUCGGCAGGGGAGACUGGAAUUCCUGGUGUAGCGGUGAAAUGCGCAGAUAUCUGGAGGAACACCGGUGGCGAAGGCGGCAUCCUGGACCGGCAUUGACGCUGAUGAGCGAAAGCCAGGGGAGCAAACGGG